CUACAGGGUAGUCUGGGUUCAUAUACAGCUUGGUACCCUCCCUGUCUCUCUGGGACGGCAGGAGGACUAAUGUAUAUGCUGUUAGGGUAGUCUGGGUUCAUAUACAGCUUGGUACCCUCCCUGUCUCUCUGGGACGGCAGGAGGACUAAUGUAUAUGCUGUUAGGGUAGUCUGGGUUCAUAUACAGCUUGGUACCCUCCCUGUCUCUCUGGGACGGCAGGAGGACUAAUGUAUAUGCUGUUAGGGUAGUCUGGGUUCAUAUACAGCUUGGUACCCUCCCUGUCUCUCUGGGACGGCAGGAGGACUAAUGUAUAUGCUGUUAGGGUAGUCUUGGUUCAUAUACAGCUUGGUACCCUCCCUGUCUCUCUGGGACGGCAAGAGGACUAAUGUAUAUGCUGUUAGGGUAGUCUGGGUUCAUAUACAGCUUGGUACCCUCCCUGUCUCUCUGGGACGGCAGGAGGACUAAUGUAUAUGCUGUUAGGUUAGUCUGGGUUCAUAUACAGCUUGUUACCCUCCCUGUCUCUCUGGGACGGCAGGAGGACUAAUGUAUAUGCUGUUAGGGUAGUCUGGGUUCAUAUACAGCUUGGUAC